UAGCCUAGUGGUUAGAGUGUAGAGGUGGCAGGUAGCCUAGUGGUUAGAGUGUAGAGGAGGCAGGUAGCCUAGUGGUUAGAGUGUAGAGGAGGCAGGUAGCCUAGUGGUUAGAUUGUAGAGGAGGCAGGUAGCCUAGUGGUUAGAGUGUAGAGGUGGCAGGUAGCCUAGUGGUUAGAGUGUAGAGGUGGCAGGUAGCCUAGUGGUUAGAGUGUAGAGGUGGCAGGUAGCCUAGUGGUUAGAGUGUAGAGGUGGCAGGUAGCCUAGUGGUUAGAGUGUAGAGGAGGCAGGUAGCCUAGUGGUUAGAGUGUAGAGGUGGCAGGUAGCCUAGUGGUUAGAGUGUAGAGGUGGAAGGUAGCCUAGUGGUUAGAGUGUAGAGGUGGCAGGUAGCCUAGUGGUUAGAGUGUAGAGGUGGCAGGUAGCCUAGUGGUUAGAGUGUAGAGGUGGCAGGUAGCCUAGUGGUUAGAGUGUAGAGGUGGCAGGUAGCCUAGUGGUUAGAGUGUAGAGGAGGCAGGUAGCCUAGUGGUUAGAGUGUAGAGGUGGCAGGUAGCCUAGUGGUUAGAGUGUAGAGGUGGCAGGUAGCCUAGUGGUUAGAGUGUAGAGGUGGCAGGUAGCCUAGUGGUUAGAGUGUAGAGGUGGCAGGUAGCCUAGUGGUUAGAGUGUAGAGGUGGAAGGUAGCCUAGUGGUUAGAGUGUAGAGGUGGCAGGUAGCCUAGUGGUUAGAGUGUAGAGGUGGCAGGUAGCCUAGUGGUUAGAGUGUAGAGGC